rnacentral:rRNA from 1 species
UACGAAGGGGGGCUAGCGUUGUUCGGAAUUACUGGGCGUAAAAGCGCACGUAGGCGGAUAUUUAAGUCAGGGGGUGAAAUCCCGGGGCUCAACCCCGGAACUGCCUUUGAUACUGGGUAUCUCGAGUCCGAGAGAGGUGAGUGGAAUUCCGAGUGUAGAGGUGAAAUUCGUAGAUAUUCGGAGGAACACCAGUGGCGAAGGCGGCUCACGUGGCUCGGUACUGACGCUGAGGUGCGAAAGCGUGGGGAGCAAACAGG